rnacentral:rRNA from 1 species
GUCGAACGAGUUCUCGUUGAUGAUCGGUGCUUGCACCGAGAUUCAACAUGGAACGAGUGGCGGACGGGUGAGUAACACGUGGGUAACCUGCCCUUAAGUGGGGGAUAACAUUUGGAAACAGAUGCUAAUACCGCAUAGAUCCAAGAACCGCAUGGUUCUUGGCUGAAAGAUGGCGUAAGCUAUCGCUUUUGGAUGGACCCGCGGCGUAUUAGCUAGUUGGUGAGGUAACGGCUCACCAAGGCGAUGAUACGUAGCCGAACUGAGAGGUUGAUCGGCCACAUUGGGACUGAGACACGGCCCAAACUCCUACGGGAGGCAGCAGUAGGGAAUCUUCCACAAUGGACGCAAGUCUGAUGGAGCAACGCCGCGUGAGUGAAGAAGGCUUUCGGGUCGUAAAACUCUGUUGUUGGAGAAGAAUGGUCGGCAGAGUAACUGUUGUCGGCGUGACGGUAUCCAACCAGAAAGCCACGGCUAACUACGUGCCAGCAGCCGCGGUAAUACGUAGGUGGCAAGCGUUAUCCGGAUUUAUUGGGCGUAAAGCGAGCGCAGGCGGUUUUUUAAGUCUGAUGUGAAAGCCCUCGGCUUAACCGAGGAAGCGCAUCGGAAACUGGGAAACUUGAGUGCAGAAGAGGACAGUGGAACUCCAUGUGUAGCGGUGAAAUGCGUAGAUAUAUGGAAGAACACCAGUGGCGAAGGCGGCUGUCUGGUCUGUAACUGACGCUGAGGCUCGAAAGCAUGGGUAGCGAACAGGAUUAGAUACCCUGGUAGUCCAUGCCGUAAACGAUGAAUG